GGGAUUGUGAUCAAGAGAUGAGAAUAAUAAUAUUAUAUUAUUGUUAUAAUGAUUUUACAGUACAAUAAUUAUGUACUGUGUAUGUGCGGACAGAUAAUAUUGAGCAAUGACGGUCAAUUAGGUCAUAGCAUAUUACCGUGCUGUGAAACCCUAAUUAUUAAACUUAGUUAUGAGAAAUGACUGAGUAGUGACUGUGUAUAUGAAGUUUACUGUGUAUAUGAAGGUUACUGUGUAUAAGAUGUCGGUAAUUAGAAGAAAACCCUAAUUACUGUUGUUUGUCGAUAAUUAGGACAAACCCUAAUUAUUACAACCCUAAUCGGUUGAAGUUAGAGAUCGUAAUGACUGUGUUAGAACAUACACAGAUAAUUAGAGAAUCCUAAUGGUCAAUUAGAAACCCUAAUUGACGGCGUUAAGAAACCCUAAUUAGAAAACCCUAAUUUUUCAAUCAAAACCCUAAUUUAAAAUUAUUGGGUUUAAUUACGAUGUUAAUGUAUAAAAGUUUUAAUUUACCAAAGGAUAAGAAGUAAUUGGUAAAUAAUAAGAAUUACCAUCUAGUGAUUAAAUACUACAUUUAAUUGCUAUGUACAAAAAUGCCCAUGAAAUUAUAUGUGAAAUUACCAAAAUACCCUUUUAGUGUAUUAUUAGUUAUAUUAUGGAAUUUUAAAAUCUAAAGUGAUAAACCCUAAUGGUUAUGGAUAAUGUCUAUAAUGCCCUUCAUGGUAGACAUGAGAAGUCUAAACUACCCUUGUGCAUUAUUAAAAUUAUUAGUGUGGAAAUGACUAAAAUGCCCCUUUUGUCCAUUUAGUGUAUUAUUAGUGUAUUAUUGGAGGAAUCUUGCUAGAAAAGCAUGGCAAACAUACUUACCCUACCAAUUAAGCAUCCAAGACUCAAUUAUGCAGAUUCAAUCAACCAUUGAGUAGCAUCCAAUGCAUCUAACUUGGUUUAUAUAUAGAUUGGAGAGAGAUAAUAUAUUUUGUACACUAAAAUUCAUCCAACUCUCAUCCUUAAGCUUC
rnacentral:lncRNA from 1 species